rnacentral:rRNA from 1 species
ACACCGAGAAGCGAUAACGAUUGUCUACGGACAAGAAGUGACAGAUACCACGCUUCCAGGAAAAGCCACUAAGCUUCAGCCAAGUCAGAACCGUACCGCAAACCGACACAGGUGGGUAGGAUGAGAAUUCUAAGGCGCUUGAGAGAACUCAGGAGAAGGAACUCGGCAAAUUGAUACCGUAACUUCGGGAGAAGGUAUGCCCUUUGAUGUGAAAGACUAGCUCUGUAAGCAUCGGAGGGUCGCAGAGAAUCGGUGGCUGCGACUGUUUAUUAAAAACACAGCACUCUGCUAACACGAAAGUGGACGUAUAGGGUGUGACGCCUGCCCGGUGCUGGAAGGUUAAUUGAAGAUGUGAGAGCAUUGGAUCGAAGCCCCAGUAAACGGCGGCCGUAACGAUAACGGUCCUAAGGUAGCGAAAUUCCUUGUCGGGUAAGUUCCGACCCGCACGAAUGGCGUAACGAUGGCCACACUGUCUCCUCCUGAGACUCAGCGAAGUUGAAAUGGUUGUGAAGAUGCAAUCUCCCCGCUGCUAGACGGAAAGACCCCGUGAACCUUUACUGUAGCUUUGCAUUGGACUUUGAAGUCACUUGUGUAGGAUAGGUGGGAGGCUUAGAAGCAGAGACGCUAGUUUCUGUGGAGCCGUCCUUGAAAUACCACCCUGGUGACUUUGAGGUUCUAACCCAGACCUGUAAUCCGGGUCGGGGACCGUGCAUGGUAGGCAGUUUGACUGGGGCGGUCUCCUCCCAAAGAGUAACGGAGGAGUUCGAAGGUUACCUAGGUCCGGUCGGAAAUCGGGCUGAUAGUGCAAUGGCAAAAGGUAGCUUAACUGCGAGACCGACAAGUCGAGCAGGUGCGAAAGCAGGACAUAGUGAUCCGGUGGUUCUGAAUGGAAGGGCCAUCGCUCAACGGAUAAAAGGUACUCCGGGGAUAACAGGCUGAUUCCGCCCAAGAGUUCAUAUCGACGGCGGAGUUUGGCACCUCGAUGUCGGCUCAUCACAUCCUGGGGCUGUAGUCGGUCCCAAGGGUAUGGCUGUUCGCCAUUUAAAGUGGUACGUGAGCUGGGUUUAAAACGUCGUGAGACAGUUUGGUCCCUAUCUGCAGUGGGCGUUGGAAGUUUGACGGGGGCUGCUCCUAGUACGAGAGGACCGGAGUGGACGAACCUCUGGUGUACCGGUUGUCACGCCAGUGGCAUAGCCGGGUAGCUAAGUUCGGAAGAGAUAAGCGCUGAAAGCAUCUAAGCGCGAAACUCGCCUGAAGAUGAGACUUCCCUGGUGGUUAAACCACCCUAAAGAGUCGUUCGAGACCAGGACGUUGAUAGGUCGGGUGUGGAAGCGCGGUAACGCGUGAAGCUAACCGAUACUAAUUGCUCGUGAGGCUUGACC